rnacentral:rRNA from 1 species
GAUGAACGCUGACAGAAUGCUUAACACAUGCAAGUCUACUUGAUCCUUCGGGUGAUGGUGGCGGACGGGUGAGUAACGCGUAAAGAACUUGCCCUGCAGUCUGGGACAACAUUUGGAAACGAAUGCUAAUACCGGAUAUUAUGUGAGUUUCGCAUGAAAUUCAUAUGAAAGCUAUAUGCGCUGCAGGAGAGCUUUGCGUCCCAUUAGUUAGUUGGUGAGGUAACGGCUCACCAAGACGAUGAUGGGUAGCCGGCCUGAGAGGGUGAACGGCCACAAGGGGACUGAGACACGGCCCUUACUCCUACGGGAGGCAGCAGUGGGGAAUAUUGGACAAUGGACCAAAAGUCUGAUCCAGCAAUUCUGUGUGCACGAUGAAGUUUUUCGGAAUGUAAAGUGCUUUCAGUUGGGAAGAAGAAAGUGACGGUACCAACAGAAGAAGCGACGGCUAAAUACGUGCCAGCAGCCGCGGUAAUACGUAUGUCGCAAGCGUUAUCCGGAUUUAUUGGGCGUAAAGCGCGUCUAGGCGGUUUGGUAAGUCUGAUGUGAAAAUGCGGGGCUCAACUCCGUAUUGCGUUGGAAACUGCCAAACUAGAGUACUGGAGAGGUAGGCGGAACUACAAGUGUAGAGGUGAAAUUCGUAGAUAUUUGUAGGAAUGCCGAUGGGAAAGCCAGCCUACUGGACAGAUACUGACGCUAAAGCGCGAAAGCGUGGGUAGCAAACAGG